AUACAAUCGGUUUUACAAAUGUCUCAUUUUCUAUACUAAAUAUUUUUAUUAUUUUUAUCAUACUAUAAGGCAAUCAGAGCAGAUGGACAGACACAAUUGAGCCAUGAAAUAGCUUUGGAGCUAAGUCAGAGGAGUGCUGCUGCUGGACUAAGGCCGAUUGGAGCAGUGGUCUUCAUGCAACGGGGUGUCCUGAAGGUUUGCUUGAGGACUACUGACAGUACAGUUAAUACAUCAGAGAUUGCAAAGGCAUAUGGCGGAGGUGGAAAACGAAGUUCGAGUUCAUUCACUCUAAGAAUGGAUGAGUUCAACAUCUGGACUUCAGUGAACUCAUGAAUUGAACUGGAGAGGUCACAUAGUGUUCAUACUGUGGGAACUCGCAACCAGCUCAUCUGGGCAUGGAUUCCCUCCGUGGUGAACAUGUGAAGAUGGGGUGGUCUUUUUGUGCUCCGGUAUGAGAGGAAGGAAAACAAAAUCUUAGUCUAACCUACCAUGUUGAUAUGAGCUUACAGGAGAAUAAUCUCUUCGAUAUGAAUGACUGGAGAGCAAUUUGGAGGCAUAAUGCUUAAGCCGUUCAAGAGAAGAUUUGAUGCCUUCAAAUGAAAUAGGUUAUGCUGGUACAUCAAAAGACGUAUUUUAUGCUCUUUCUAAUCUUUAUCCAGUAGACCUAUGUGCUUAAUUUUAGAGAUGAUAAGGGUGGUGCGGGCCGAAGAUCUGUCAUACUCCUAGGGGCCAAUUAUAGCUUACACUUAUGUUGUUAUUAGUUUUGAAUGCUGAACAUACAUGGAGAUGGGUAGCUCAGCUCAGCUUGGAUAUAACUUGGUUUCUAUCCAAACUAAUACUUUGCUCCGUAGGGAAUGCAUCUGGCAACGGAAAUUGUUGUCAAGCUCCAGUAGCAGAAAGGAUCAUCUUCAAUUAUUGUAAUCCUGCUCCUUAAUAAUACAUUCUUGGAUCUUGCUCUGGGCUUAAAAAAUCUGCAUCACCAAAUUGUUCCUCGUUGCGAACAAUUAUGUAAUACAGAACCUUAGAAACUGGAAAUGUUUAUUCCAUUUCGGUAAUUUGGGAAUGAUCUGUGUUAAAAUCCUUUUUAAGUGUCAUACCACGCACUAUUUUUCUGUUCCUCAACUCUAUUGAUCCCAUAACCUAUUUCUGUUAACUGGUUACUAAGGACAUGUACAAUCCCAUAACCAAAUUGGUGGGUAUGCAAUGCGUCAAUGAAAAAACCAUUUCUUCAGUCCUGUAAUGUUGUUCCGAUUGCGUCAAUGAAAAAACUGUAAUUUUUGACCGGGGAGAUGGUAGCACUAGCAUGUGGGGAUUAAAGUUCCUAAAUGUUCAGUACUGUCCUAAACACUUGUUCUAUCUUUUUUGAGUGGAAGUCCGACGUCCGAGAGGGGCUCGCCAUUGGGCUUGGCAUGGGCACAGUCAUGCUGCUCCUCUUCUGCGGCUACUCGCUGGUGAUUUGAUAUGGCUCUAAGCUGAUCCUGGAGAUGGUGUACACCGGAGCCAAGGUCACAACAUGAUCUUUGUAGUCCUCACUGGUUCUCUUUUCUCAAAUUGACCAUGGUGUUGUAAAUUUGAUCAAUGAAGAAGAUUCAAGAAUUACCGUUUAUCACUGUGGUUCAAGAAAACUACCCGAAUCGUCUUGGGGUAUUGUUUGUCAUCCGCCUUCCUCCAGUUGUCAGAGUUAUUGCACAGACAUUUCUUCAAAUUGCAAUAUCACAUGGUAUCCGUGGAGAUGAGGACGACAUUGCCUCCAAGUCUGCUCCACCGGCAUCCAUCGAUGGUGCAAGGUACGGAUUCGAGCCUCCGGUCCUUCAAUCUAGCCACCAGGUAGAUUCGUCUCAGUGGUGGUCGGAUUCAUCUCGACGGUGGUCAGAUCCAGCAGAUAGAUUGAUGGCGAAGAGGACGACUCCAUGUCCAGGCGUACUCCCCGCCUUGCAUCGAGAUUGCUAGGUCAUAAUCGAAGGGUUUACAGGGAGGAGAUCUGAACAUAGCUCUUCAAUCCCAAAGUUAACAUCGUUGGUAAACCCCUUCUGGUGUUACCUCACAAAUAUCACUAAAGUCAUUUUAGCUUUUUGCUGCUCCUUAUGUGCUUCAGAUUCAGCAAGAGGUACUCUGCAAUUUUUGGAAGACUAAUACCUAACUUUUUUACUGGUCGACAUUUGCUUUGUGUAGGUUACCAUAAUUCUUACUGCUUGCAAGCCCUUUUAGAAUAUUACUGCUGCGAGGUUCUUGCAAGUCCUUGAUGAAGAAGUCGAAGGUGACGAACGCCGAGACCGUCAUCCUGAUCGACGCCAAGAACCUCACAGCGCACCUCCUUGAGAUCUCGUGGAAGGACAAGAUUUAAGAUGCACUACCAUGGUUGGCGGUCUAUUUACUGCAUCUCGAAGCGGCUUGCAUUCAAAGGUUCUGCACCUCUAAAUAUUUCUGGUCGUGAAGCUGUCUAUGAAAGGAAGAUGAAAAUUCAGCAAGUUGGAUUGAUUUAUCUUUCCCCCCUAUGGCUGAUUCAGCAACCUGUAUUAAAUAGUCUAUUUGACAUUUGAUAUUUCAAUGCUGUUAUAGGACUAUAUUGUACAGGACCUUGGAGGAGCUGACCAUGUGACAGACCUUGAUCAUAACCAUGUUGCAGAGUUGAAGAUAUUAGGACUAUAUUAAACAUUGCUGCAUAUAGCAUCAGACUUAGAAGUCAAACAACAUCAAACUUAUCAUCAGUUAUAUCCGUGAUCCAGCAACAACUUGGUUUCCGUCGCUGCCCAAACUUCAGGAGAGGCGAUCUAAGAAGAAGCAAGCGUACCGGCUCAUGUUCUGACGGCCGUGUUCACGUGGUGUAAGAUCUGCAUUGUGGAAUCCUUCGCCCGGACAAGAGAGAUUGGAUCCUCCCGUCCAGACAACCUGAUAGAACGACAGUGUAUAAGAACAGGGCUCUUAGGACGCCUUUUGUCAAGUUGGGUCAUAACUCUACCCUGAGAAUUGAGAUAGAUGAUCAUGUGGUGCAAGAUAUUGAGUCCCUCAUCUUUGAUGACACACAUAACAAAUGGUAAGCGUCUCCGUGGAUGGAGCCUGAAGUAUAUUCAAAUUCAAGGCAUGCCACAAAGCAUCUCGCGUGUGGGAUGCUCCGGCGUGUGGAAAGUAGAAAAGCCAAAUAAAUGGGUACAUGUACAGCAGGCGUGAGUUCUUAAAUACUCAGAUUCCUUGUCCAUAGGCAAAUGCAUAGUUCAUACGAAUCAGAGUGCACGAUGCACACAACUUGAUGUCUCUAUCGUUGUUUUCAACAUGAUGAACAUGCGAAUUUCGUGGUAUU